UACGUAGGUGGCAAGCGUUGUCCGGAUUUACUGGGCGUAAAGGAUGCGUAGGCGGACAUUUAAGUCAGAUGUGAAAUACCCGAGCUUAACUUGGGUGCUGCAUUUGAAACUGGGUGUCUAGAGUGCAGGAGAGGUAAGUGGAAUUCCUAGUGUAGCGGUGAAAUGCGUAGAGAUUAGGAAGAACACCAGUGGCGAAGGCGGCUAACUGGUCCGGUUCUGACGCUGAGGCGCGAAAGCGUGGGGAGCGAACAGG
rnacentral:rRNA from 1 species